AAUAUUUGACAAUGGGCGAAAGCCUGAUCCAGCCAUGCCGCGAGUGUGAAGAAGGUCUNCGGAUUNUNAAGCACUUUAAGUAGGGNCGUAGGGCAGUAAGUUAAUACCUAGCUGUUUUUACGUUACCGACAGAAUAAGUACAGGCUAACUUCGUUCCAGCAGCCGCUGUAAUACGAAGGGCGCAAGCGUUAAUCCGAAUUACUGGGUGAAAAGCGCGCGUAGGUUGUUUGUUAAGUUUGGAUGGAAAGCCCCGGGCUCAACCUGGUAACUGCUUUCAAAAAUGGCAAGCUAGAAUAUGGCAGAGGGUGGUGGAAUUUCCUGUGUAGCGGUGAAAUGCGUAGAUAUAGGAAGGAACACCAGUGGCGAAGGCGACUACCUGGACUGAUACUGACACUGAGGUGCGAAAGCGUGGGGAGCAAACA
rnacentral:rRNA from 1 species